UCACCCACGGGCGUGUGCAAGUGUGAAGAAGCACAGGCAGAUGGUGGAGCCCGCACGCGGGAAAACAGCUUAGCAGUCAACAGAGUCCGAAGGACCAGGACACCCCUUGGGACAAGGCUGCGAAGACAGAACCAUGGGUGCCGAAGGGUUGUUCACAACCCUCUAAAGCUAACUACAGCUCCUAACUACUGAGCUGCCCCUACCGGCGUCCAGAGCAUCGUCAACAACCAGAGGGAUUUCCAGCACAGGCCGGACCGCCAGGUUGUCACGUGAUGCGCAGAGGCUGCUCUCCGGGCCCUGGGCUACAGAGAGCAGUUUACCCAGGCCCGGGGAUUUCUCAGCAGAGAGGAAGAAUCUCACCCAAGGGGAAAAGUCCUAAAACCAGGAUUUCUAGUGUCAUGUUUCUGUAGCCACAGAGAAGCCCUUGGGGACCCUGUUCUUAAGAGUGUGAAAGGAUCCUGAGACCAAAAGUGUGGAGAGCGGCCUGAGAGUCCUGACUGCCCCGCUGCCCACACCCACCACAGCGCAGGAUACAGGCUCUCCUUCCCUUGGCUGAUCGUCUUGGGAGACUGCAUGUCAACCCUUUAUCGUGUCUAAGUGCUGUAAAGUGUCUGUCUCAGACAUUAUUGCCACUAGCUUCCCUGGACACCAGAAGCCACCGUGUUCCCAAUUCAUUUGUAAAGAGAGAAGUUGACUUAAUUCUACAAGUUUUCUUCUAGCUUCAAUUAUAUGAAUGCCGUUCUUUAAAAAAAAAAAAAAAAAAUAGGGCUGGGGAGAUGGCUCAGUGGUUAAGAGCACUGACUGCUCUUCCGUAGGUCCUGAGUUCAAAUCCCAGCAACCACAUGGUGACUCACAACCAUCCGUAAUGAGAUCCGAUGCCUUCUUCUGGAGUAUCUGAAGACAGCUAUGGUGUACUUACAUAUAAUAAUAAAUAAAUCUUAAAAAAAUUUUUAAGCCCUCGAACACACUAGUUGAAGCCUGGUGUGGUGAUACAUACCUGUCAUUUCAGCACUCAAGAAAUGGUUCAGUUGGAUAAAGGUGCUCCAGGUGAGCCUUAGGACCUGGGUUCAGAUCUCUGAAAUGGGCGUAAAAGACAGAUGCAGCAACACAAAUGAGUGAUCCCAGCAUUUCUACAGUAAGUCAGCUUUAGACUGGGUCGACAGGAAAACAUUCAGAAGUGCCAAUGCCCAGACCCCAAGUCCAGCAUCAGUCAUAUCUAAAAUGUCUCCCCCUGGGCUGGAGAGAUAGCUCAGUGGUUAAGAGCGCUGACUGCUCUCCCAAGGUCCUGAGUUCAAAUCCCAGCAACCACUUGGUGGCUCACAACCAUCCGAAAUGAGAUCUGAUGCCCUUUUCUGGGGUGUCUGAAGACAGUGACAUAUAAUAAAUAAUAAAUCUUUUACAUACCAUAA